AAUUAAAAAUUUUAUUCAUUUGUACCAUUAAAAAUUGACGUGACUGAUAGAAUAAUCAGACAAUGACACGUGACGUGUCAUGUGUACUUCAUGCUGAUAUAUAAGGAUUAGUUUUUAGCAUUAGAAAUGAAUAAAAUUUUUAACA
rfam:Gossypium hirsutum cultivar TM-1 chromosome 10, whole genome shotgun sequence